rnacentral:rRNA from 1 species
UUUAUAUGAGAGUUUGAUCCUGGCUCAGGAUGAACGCUGGCGGCGUGCCUAAUACAUGCAAGUCGAACGAGUUCUCGUUGAUGAUCGGUGCUUGCACCGAGAUUCAACAUGGAACGAGUGGCGGACGGGUGAGUAACACGUGGGUAACCUGCCCUUAAGUGGGGGAUAACAUUUGGAAACAGAUGCUAAUACCGCAUAGAUCCAAGAACCGCAUGGUUCUUGGCUGAAAGAUGGCGUAAGCUAUCGCUUUUGGAUGGACCCGCGGCGUAUUAGCUAGUUGGUGAGGUAAUGGCUCACCAAGGCGAUGAUACGUAGCCGAACUGAGAGGUUGAUCGGCCACAUUGGGACUGAGACACGGCCCAAACUCCUACGGGAGGCAGCAGUAGGGAAUCUUCCACAAUGGACGCAAGUCUGAUGGAGCAACGCCGCGUGAGUGAAGAAGGCUUUCGGGUCGUAAAACUCUGUUGUUGGAGAAGAAUGGUCGGCAGAGUAACUGUUGCCGGCGUGACGGUAUCCAACCAGAAAGCCACGGCUAACUACGUGCCAGCAGCCGCGGUAAUACGUAGGUGGCAAGCGUUAUCCGGAUUUAUUGGGCGUAAAGCGAGCGCAGGCGGUUUUUUAAGUCUGAUGUGAAAGCCCUCGGCUUAACCGAGGAAGCGCAUCGGAAACUGGGAAACUUGAGUGCAGAAGAGGACAGUGGAACUCCAUGUGUAGCGGUGAAAUGCGUAGAUAUAUGGAAGAACACCAGUGGCGAAGGCGGCUGUCUGGUCUGUAACUGACGCUGAGGCUCGAAAGCAUGGGUAGCGAACAGGAUUAGAUACCCUGGUAGUCCAUGCCGUAAACGAUGAAUGCUAGGUGUUGGAGGGUUUCCGCCCUUCAGUGCCGCAGCUAACGCAUUAAGCAUUCCGCCUGGGGAGUACGACCGCAAGGUUGAAACUCAAAGGAAUUGACGGGGGCCCGCACAAGCGGUGGAGCAUGUGGUUUAAUUCGAAGCAACGCGAAGAACCUUACCAGGUCUUGACAUCUUUUGAUCACCUGAGAGAUCAGGUUUCCCCUUCGGGGGGCAAAAUGACAGGUGGUGCAUGGUUGUCGUCAGCUCGUGUCGUGAGAUGUUGGGUUAAGUCCCGCAACGAGCGCAACCCUUAUGACUAGUUGCCAGCAUUUAGUUGGGCACUCUAGUAAGACUGCCGGUGACAAACCGGAGGAAGGUGGGGAUGACGUCAAAUCAUCAUGCCCCUUAUGACCUGGGCUACACACGUGCUACAAUGGAUGGUACAACGAGUUGCGAGACCGCGAGGUCAAGCUAAUCUCUUAAAGCCAUUCUCAGUUCGGACUGUAGGCUGCAACUCGCCUACACGAAGUCGGAAUCGCUAGUAAUCGCGGAUCAGCACGCCGCGGUGAAUACGUUCCCGGGCCUUGUACACACCGCCCGUCACACCAUGAGAGUUUGUAACACCCGAAGCCGGUGGCGUAACCCUUUUAGGGAGCGAGCCGUCUAAGGUGGGACAAAUGAUUAGGGUGAAGUCGUAACAAGGUAGCCGUAGGAGAACCUGCGGCUGGAUCACCUCCUUUCUAAGGAA